rnacentral:rRNA from 1 species
UACGGAGGAUGCGAGCGUUAUCCGGAUUUAUUGGGUUUAAAGGGUGCGUAGGCGGACGCUUAAGUCAGCGGUAAAAUUGCGGGGCUCAACCUCGUCGAGCCGUUGAAACUGGGUGCCUUGAGUGGGCGAGAAGUACGCGGAAUGCGUGGUGUAGCGGUGAAAUGCAUAGAUAUCACGCAGAACUCCGAUUGCGGAGGCAGCGUACCGGCGCCCUACUGACGCUGAAGCACGAAGGCGUGGGUAUCGAACAGG